rnacentral:rRNA from 1 species
GGUCUCGCUCGUUGCCUGACUUAACAGGAUGCUUCACAGUACGAACUGGCGACGGCCAUGCACCUCCUCUCAGCGAUUCAGGCAAGGUCUUCAGCCUGGCCUACAUUUUGCUGUCGUCCCCGGUGAGUUGUCCGGCGUUGAGUCCAAUUAAACCGCAGGCUCCACCCGUUGUUGUGCUCCCCCGCCAAUUCCUUUAAGUUUCAGCCUUGCGGCCGUACUUCCCAGGUGGCUCGCUUCACGGCUUCCCUGCGGCACCAGACACGGUCGCGCCAUGCCUGACACCUAGCGAGCAUCGUUUACGGCUGGGACUACCCGGGUAUCUAAUCCGGUUCGUGCCCCCAGCUUUCGUCCCUCACCGUCGAACCCGUUCUGGUAAGACGCCUUCGCCACAGGUGGUCCCACAGGGAUUACAAGAUUUCACUCCUACCCCUGUAGUACCUCUUACCUCUCCCGGUUCCAAGCCUGGCAGUAUCCCCCGAAAGCCUAAUGGUUGAGCCAUCAGAUUUCCCGGAGGACUGACCAAACCGGCUACGGACCCUUUAGACCCAAUAAUCACGAUCACCACUCGGGCCGCCGGUGUUACCGCGGCGGCUGGCACCGGUCUUGCCCGGCCCUUGCUAACAGGUGUAUUUUACACACCCGGACAGCCAGCAUAUGAUGCUGGCACUCGGUGUCCCCUUAUCACGGUUUCCCGCAUUGUAAAGUUUUCGCGCCUGCUGCGCCCCGUAGGGCCUGGAUUCAUGUCUCAAAAUCCAUCUCCGGGCUCUUGCUCUCACAACCCGUACCCGUUGUUGGCUAGUAGGUACAUUACACCCACUACUACCUGAUAGGCCGCAGACCCAUCCUUGGGCGGACGAAUCCAUUUUACGCAUAAAGCAUUCCAGCAUAUGUGCGUUAUCCGGAAUUAUCCCCAGUUUCCCGGGGUUAUGCCGGACCCAAGGGCAGGUUAUCCACGUGUUACUGAGCAGUACGCCAUGUUCACGAAGAACAUAUGACUCGCAUGGCUUAGGCGAACACCGAUAGCAGUAACCUCUGGCAGGAUCAACCGGA